CUCUCUCUCUCUCUCUCUCUCUCUCUCUCUCUCUCUCUCUCUCUCUCUCUCUCUCUCGCUUUUCCUAAAUCGUGACGACGUCAUCAACCAUCUCUCCGGUGAACGACGUCCUUCUCCUCCCUUUGUCAUCUGUGGUGGUUGUUGGUGGAGUAGCUUUUCUAGCAGCAACAUUCGGCUUUGGUUCGCGACAAGUUUUUUCUACAGGUUUUGAAAGAUAAGGAUAACUGGAUAAGCAUCGACAAUAUCCGACAAGUCUUCUAUAGCAUAAGGCAUUACUUUGCUAAAAAAUUGGCUGAACAGUGAGUGAGUGUAAUACUCUUGUUGUAGCAUGGACAAAGUUGAAAAUUUGUAUUUUGUAGAAUUGUCAAGAUUGCAUAUUGGAUUUGUAUUGUAUUACUGUAAUAGUUUUUUUUUUUUUUUUGUAUUUGGACUUUGGACUGUUUUGUUAUUUUUUUUAUUUGGACUGGUUUGUAUUUACAAUUUGGACGGUUAUGUUCUUAGAAGUUAGAACUAUGAAGUGGUUUAUUUUGAUUUGAUUUAUAGUUAAAUUUUAAAAUAUGUUUAUCUAGUUGA